GAUGAACGCUGGCGGCGUGCCUAAUACAUGCAAGUCGAGCGAAUGGAUUAAGAGCUUGCUCUUAUGAAGUUAGCGGCGGACGGGUGAGUAACACGUGGGUAACCUGCCCAUAAGACUGGGAUAACUCCGGGAAACCGGGGCUAAUACCGGAUAAUAUUUUGAACUGCAUGGUUCAAAAUUGAAAGGCGGAUUCGGCUGUCACUUAUGGAUGGACCCCCGUCGCAUUAGCCAGUUGGUGAGGUAACGGCUCACCAAGGCAACGAUGCGUAGCCGACCUGAGAGGGUGAUCGGCCACACUGGGACUGAGACACGGCCCAGACUCCUACGGGAGGCAGCAGUAGGGAAUCUUCCGCAAUGGACGAAAGUCUGACGGAGCAACGCCGCGUGAGUGAUGAAGGCUUUCGGGUCGUAAAACUCUGUUGUUAGGGAAGAACAAGUGCUAGUUGAAUAAGCUGGCACCUUGACGGUACCUAACCAGAAAGCCACGGCUAACUACGUGCCAGCAGCCGCAGUAA
rnacentral:rRNA from 1 species